rnacentral:rRNA from 1 species
GACAGAGGGUGCAAGCGUUAAUCGGAAUUACUGGGCGUAAAGCGUUCGUAGGUGGUUGCUUAAAUCAGAUGUGAAAGCCCCGGGCUCAACCUGGGAAUGCCAUUUGAGACUGAGUGACUAGAAGUAGGUAGAGGAUAGUAGAAUUCCAGGUGUAGCGGUGAAAUGCGUAGAUAUCUGGAGGAAUACCAGUGGCGAAGGCGGCUAUCUGGACCUUACUUGACACUGAGGAACGAAAGCGUGGGGAGCAAACAGG